rnacentral:rRNA from 1 species
GACGAACGCUGGCGGCGUGCUUAACACAUGCAAGUCGAACGGAAAGGCCCUGCUUUUGUGGGGUUCUCGAGUGGCGAACGGGUGAGUAACACGUGAGUAACCUGCCCUUGACUUUGGGAUAACUUCAGGAAACUGGGGCUAAUACCGGAUAGGAGCUCCUGCUGCAUGGUGGGGGUUGGAAAGUUUCGGCGGUUGGGGAUGGACUCGCGGCUUAUCAGCUUGUUGGUGGGGUAGUGGCUUACCAAGGCUUUGACGGGUAGCCGGCCUGAGAGGGUGACCGGCCACAUUGGGCCUGAGAUACGGCCCAGACUCCUACGGGAGGCAGCAGUGGGGAAUAUUGCACAAUGGGCGGAAGCCUGAUGCAGCAACGCCGCGUGCGGGAUGACGGCCUUCGGGUUGUAAACCGCUUUCGCCUGUGACGAAGCGUGAGUGACGGUAAUGGGUAAAGAAGCACCGGCUAACUACGUG